AUUGUUUGACACUCUUUUCCGCGUCCGCCGCGCGUAAGUGUGCUCGAAUCCAGUGAGACGAUCCGCUAGGGACCUGCUCAGUCCUGCCAGGGGACCACCGCGCCUCUACCGCUUGGCAGAGGAGCUGCCUUUGCUGUCUGCACUGUGCUCCCUCCGCCUACCACCGCGGCGUACGCAGCUCUCUUCUCUCGAGAGUUCACUCAUUUUUUUUUCGUGUCGCGUGGUCUCGCUCUACUGUUUACCCCCUUUUUUCCCUUAUUACAUACUAAUGCUCACCGGCGCAGAUGCCGCAGGGACGGCGGUGACGUCGCGCUCCAAAGGCGCCCAGCACCCAAGCAGCGUGUGCGGAUUUCCGACAGCAUGCGUGAGCUAAGCGCAGAUCUGCAGCAACUCGAGGACCUGGGCCUCUCCCUCGACCCUCUGACACCUCCGUCUUCUGACAGUGUGGAGCAUAUUCUCAUCACGGACAGCUGGAGCUGCACCGUGUGCGGCACCACCGGCGCCGCCAUCUGCCCCCUCACGGGAAGCCGCAUCGUCGGCGCCUCGUUAGCAUUGCCCAGCAUGCCCUUCGGCUGAUUGAGCUGCAUGUCGGAAAGGUGUACGUGCGAUCAGCACCGCUGUCGAAGCGCGUCGACGGCGAGGUGCAGGUGCGGACCCAGCGACGGCUGACCAUGAAUCCCCACACUUUUCUCUUGGCGUUCUACUUCGCGUCGCAGGCAUCGACGGCCCCAAAGGCUGCCGCUGAUGGGGCACAGACGCCGCCACUUUCGCGAAAGUCUGGCACACCCGGCAGCCGUGGAAGCGCAGAGUGGACGGGAGAGUGUGCGCGCCACUUGCUCGACGUCGCGCGCGAGAUUAAGGUGUACGGCGCAUCUCCGACGGACGACGCCUACUGCCACUCGCUUCUGAAGUCGAUGCGAAGUGCGUGGCUGCAGUACUCGCGGCAGGUUAAGCGGGAGCUGGCGGCAGACAGCGCUAGCGAGUUGGAGUCUCCAAAAUCGCGGCCGAGCGAUGAAAACACGCAGGCCUCACUGCCCAAAACCGCGAAGGCUCGUGACGAGCUUGUGAGUUGCACGCGCUCGACGCUGAUCGAGGCGGUGGCGCACUCCCGAAAAGAUCCAGACAACCAAGACCUAAAGAGAUUCACCGCGCUUCUCUAUCAGCGGCUCUCCCGGCUCUGCACCGCCGACGAGUUCGCCGAUGUCAAGCGGCGCGUCGAGAAAAUCGAGGCGUACGACUCCACGCCACGGAUCGAGUACGCCACCCCUCCGUGUGUAAUGCUCGACGCGAACACAACCGCCUCCGAAGACGAGGCCGGCGGUGCGACGGCGGCGUUGGCGGGGUCUUCCACACCGGGUGGUGCGGCGGCGUCCGGCUGUAUGCGCCGGCGUGCUGGGCCUGAACUGCCGCCCGGGUGGUACGUUGAUGAGAGGGGUGUAUCACGCCCGCCGGCCGACCACGAGGAGCGCAAGCGGCGCGAGCGCUAUCUUCAGAAAGAGUUCAAGGCUCAAAAGGCGUAUGAGGCGGUCAUGCAGAUGGAUACGGACAAGGACAAGCCGGAGCAGCCACAGGCGAGGGUGGCCGCAGCCCUUACCCAGGCAGAGCUGCAGCUGUUGGCCACAGACCUCAACACAACCCCGCCGCACCUGAAGCGUCUAUUGGCCUCCUGACACUUGUGGAGGAUCGUUUUGUGGAGGCGCUGCCACCUCGCCUGCGUCCGCGCUUGCGGCAGGAGUUCCAUGAUGUGCUGGACUGGAACGUCAUUCAGCGGCAAGCUCGCGGUAACGCGCGCAACAUCUCCAACCUGGUCCGGUUCGUUGGUGAAAAGGUGAUCGAGUGCAGCUCUCCAGCGCGCGAGGCCACCAUGGUGGCCCGCAUGUCUGCCGUGUGCGACGAUAUCGAGCGCUGCACGCCUGACGUCGGCACUGCCGUGGCGAACGCGUUCGCUUUUCUUUUUGAGGCCAUUCGCGAACUGCGCGAGGACGUCGCGAAGUUUUCCCUUGUUAUGAUUAACGCGUCGCUGAAGCAGAACGCUGUGCAUUACAUUCAAGAGUUCAUCUCUGCGUGCUUGCCGCUGCCGCGCAAGUGGACCCGCUCAAUCGCCUUUCUGCAGCGCUUCAUCAACGACGAACGGGUGCUGUUGUGGUCCUCGGUGAGCGUACCGCAGGCGUGGACGUCCGUCACGGCAGAGGAGCGACGGGUGCGCGGUGCGCUGCUGAUCGGAACGCUGGACUUGCUGCGCAGUGGCCGGCACACGAGUCUCGAUCGCUGGGUCGACUUGCCGCCGGAGAUAUUCUAUUUCGAGAAGCACAUCAUCUUCAAAGCAGCUAAUACGGUGCAGGAAUGCACACUGCUGCUGCUGCUGGACGGCGCCAUCUCUAGCGUGCUUGCGCGCCGCGCGAUGAAGCCGGCGACGGUGUCGGCCGUCAUUCGCCACCUGCAUAGUCAAAUUAUGUUGCUUCUAGCCGAGGACAUCCGUCUAGAUACUCUCAAGGACUCGGUGAUCGACUUCGUCGAGAGUCAGCUGUACCACCUACAUGUUGGGGAGGCUGCGCCCGACGACGAGGCCUCACUUGCGGCGGUUGGCCCGAAAGUCACCCUGACAGACACCGAAAAGCAGACGGUGCGAUCAACCAUUGACAAGAUGACCAACACUGAGGAUCCACUCUACGUCACGUUUGAGCGGCGCGUGCUGCAGUUCAUGGAGGCCAUGCUGGUGAGAAACACCGACGAUGUGGCGCCUCUUGGAUUGGUGACGAACACGCUGAAGCAGCAGGUUCAACUACUGCGCCACAUGCUGGUGUUCCAUUGGGAGGUCUACAUGCCAUCGUACCGUGAGAUGCUCCCGUCAUUGUCGCUUGAAUCGACGGCUACUGUGACGUGAGCCGGCGCCGCUCCGUUCACCGCAGCCUUUGCGAGCUACUCGCCGGAAGUGCUUUUGUGGGGAUCAUGGAGGUGUGCGAAUACGUGUGUCGCCCUGAUGGGGUGAGUGUUAUCUUGCUGGCGUCGCGCAUAUGUUUCAGACGCUUUCGCCGCUCUCACUCUACACGGCUGUAUGCGCGUGUGUGGCUGUGCCAUGUGCGCGAACUCGGCGUAGCGUGUCGAAAGUGACGCAGUGGUGCGAUUAGCGUUGUCGUGUUCAACGUCAGUCAGCGCCGUUAUUUUAUGAGAGCCUCUUAUACGCGUUCGACUCUGCUCUUCCUGCCUCCGCGGAGGCUUCUAUGCACGAAUGUACGUACACUCGCUCAAAACCCAGCCGGGUACACACCCUCAUACACACGCGCUCUCUUUUUCUCCUAUGUAAAGUUGCGCUUGUGCGGAUGUAUGAGCUGCAUCUCCCUGAGCUUGCUCCUUUCCAUUCCUUUCUCUAACACGCCCAGCGCCUGUUUCCAUUGUGUAGUCUCGUGUGUAACGAUUCUCUCUCGUCGCUGUCUCGACUCUGCAGCCCUUCGCGCAUCACCGAAGCGGAGGCUGACCCCUCUCCCUCUUCCCCUUCCCUCUGACCGCUCCUCACACUGCACUUGCGCGGCGUGCUUGUGACAACGUGCACGGUGCGGACGGCUGCAGCGUAUAGCGGAGAGAGGAAGGGGGGGGGAGGUGGAGGCAGAAGAACAUGAUUUUAAUGCAUUGACUGCUUUCAUCUUCG
rnacentral:misc_RNA from 1 species